CCUUCGGGAUAGUGGCGGACGGGUGAGUAACACGUGGGAACGUGCCCUUUGGUUCGGAACAAGCCGGGGAAACCUGGUCUAAUGCCGAAUGUGCCCUACGGGGGAAAGAUUUAUCGCCAUUGGAGCGGCCCGCGUCUGAUUAGCUUGUUGGUGAGGUAAAGGCUCACCAAGGCGACGAUCAGUAGCUGGUCUGAGAGGAUGAUCAGCCACACUGGGACUGAGACACGGCCCAGACUCCUACGGGAGGCAGCAGUUAGGAAUCUUGCGCAAUGGGCGAAAGCCUGACGCAGCCAUGCCGCGUGAAUGAUGAAGGUCUUAGGA
rnacentral:rRNA from 1 species